AUACGGAGGGUGCGAGCGUUAAUCGGAAUUACUGGGCGUAAAGCGUACGUAGGCGGUUUGCUAAGUCAGAUGCGAAAGCCCCGGGCUUAACCUGGGAACUGCAUUUGAUACUGGCAGACUAGAGUAUGAUAGAGGGGGGUAGAAUUCCUGGUGUAGCGGUGAAAUGCGUAGAUAUCAGGAGGAAUACCAGUGGCGAAGGCGGCCCCCUGGAUCAAUACUGACGCUGAGGUACGAAAGCGUGGGUAGCAAACGGGAUUAGAUACCCUAGUAGUCC
rnacentral:rRNA from 1 species